CAGUAGCCGCGGUAAUACAGAGGGUGCAAGCGUUAAUCGGAUUUACUGGGCGUAAAGGGCGCGUAGGUGGUUAUGUAAGUGAGAUGUGAAAUCCCCGGGCUCAACCUGGGAAUGGCGAUGGAGACUGCAAGGCUAGAAUCUGGCAGAGGGGGGUAGAAUUCCACGUGUAGCAGUGAAAUGCGUAGAUAUGUGGAGGAACACCGGUGGCGAAGGCAGCCCCCUGGGCUAAGAUUGACGCUCAUGCACGAAAGCGUGGGGAGCAAACAGGAUUAGAUACCCCGGUAGUCCCUGUCUCUUAUAC
rnacentral:rRNA from 1 species